GUCUACUACACCUGUUGUAUUCAGCAUUUCACUGUAAGGUCUACUACACCUGUUGUAUUCAGCAUUUCACUGUAAGGUCUACUACACCUGUUGUAUUCAGCAUUUCACUGUAAGGUCUACCUACACCAGUUGUAUUCAGCAUUUCACUGUAAGGUCUACCUACACCAGUUGUAUUCAGCAUUUCACUGUAAGGUCUACCUACACCUGUUGUAUUCAGCAUUUCACUGUAAGGUCUACUACACCUGUUGUAUUCAGCAUUUCACUGUAAGGUCUACUACACCUGUUGUAUUCAGCAUUUCACUGUAAGGUCUACCUACACCAGUUGUAUUUAGCAUUUCACUGUAAGGUCUACUACACCUGUUGUAUUC
ensembl:lncRNA